rnacentral:rRNA from 1 species
UACGUAGGGGGCAAGCGUUGUCCGGAAUUAUUGGGCGUAAAGAGCGUGUAGGCGGCCAGAUAAGUCCGCUGUGAAAUCUCGAGGCUCAACUUCGAGCUGUCGGUGGAAACUAUCUGGCUAGAGUCCGGAAGAGGAGAAUGGAAUUCCUGGUGUAGCGGUGAAAUGCGCAGAUAUCAGGAGGAACACCGGUGGCGAAGGCGGGGUCUC